AUGACAGCUGGUGUUUAAUCAGGGUCCUCUGCAAGAGUGAUCUUGUAGGGCAUUGGCUUCUCGCUGGGGGAGAAUUUCCGUGAAUACUUGAAUGGACACUGUUCUGACACAGAAGGCAAGCUCAAUCACCCACCACAUAAUCUAUUGAUGACUGCAUUGUCAGCCGCUUCUACAAUGGGAACAUUGAGUCAGGUAUCUAUGGCUGCUGCUCAACAAUUGUUGCUGCUCGUUUUCUUGGAGCUCAUGCUGCCCAGAUGCAGACCCAAUCUUCUAGCCUUACUCCAGAUCGUCAUGGUUGUGUGCACAGCUUUCAGAAACUAAACGUAUUUGUUGGAUGCAUACAGAAGUUAAACACACGCGAGGUCUGUAUUAUUGCUCAUAUUAAUGAUCCCUCAGAGUAUUUGACUAUAUAUGAAACUUAGAUAAUUUCUCAUAUACAUUUCAUUUGUCCGGAGCAAAUAACGUCGUCCCAGGUGGAAGGAACCUCGAAGAGUGACCGUGCCAGUUCGGGCAUGGCUGCGCCAUUGAGAUUUUGACAGGGCAGAUCCAAUGCAAGUAGACAAAAGAGGAAGAAGGUGGCCGACGGCAGCAUAAGGAGUGCAAUUCCUCGUCUUGAUCAUCAUUCUCCUUGUAAAAAAGGUUUCGCUUCCGCUAUGUAUUUUUGUCAAAAAAAGGUGCAUUUUAUCCCAAAACUUCUUUCAACAUCAAUAACAACCAAAUCACCUGGUCA